GAAAAACAAAGCAGGAGCAGGGAAUAGAAGAAUGCCAGGAAUGGGGAUUGAUUUUAAAGAGGGUGGUUACAGGAGGCCUUAUGGAGAAUGCCACCUGAGCCAACACUUGAGGAGAUGAGAGCCAAGUGAGUGGGUAGCAGUGAAGGCUGCUCCAGGCAAAGGGAACACGACAAUCAACUGUUUGAAAACUCCCAUUGGGUCUCUAUCUCCUGGGAGACGUUAAAACUCUUUGUUCUAGGUUCUAUGGCCCUUCUCUGCCCUGGAGCUCCCCACAGAGAGGCUCUGGUCUUCUCUGUCCCAGGCAUGACAGCUAAUACUCUUCCUUUUCCUGCCCUGUCAUUUCCCUCCUCCUCAAACACAGAUUUUCUUUCCUUAGACACGAUUUCUUCCGCUGUGUUAGUCAGAGCCUUGUGGUGUUUGUUUAAAUAAACAAAUCCGUCAUGAAUACGAUAUGAAAGAAGAUUGGACCUUCAGGCUGACUAAUGACGAACAUGAUGAGUUUCUUAAGGCAAAUCAGUCUUUUCCUCUUCAAAGGAGUCAGUUUUACUGGAAGUACUACAUAUAAUUAAUUACAUAGGCAUUAAUAUCAUGCUGACAGAAAAACAAAAAAGGAAUGUGUUGCCACACAGAAGAUGCAGAACCACUUUUAUGGCCGAAGUGGAACCAUGGUGUGAUACAGCUUCAAGUGAUCUUAAAGAUCAUCUGGCUCUUGAGCAUCCAGUGAAAAGUGGCUUCCUUGGUCUGAAGGUUUGGCCUGUCUAAGACAUUUAGUUAAAAUCAGUGUUUUGCAUCUUUGAUCAGAACAUGUGAACAAAUAGGACAAUUUGGCUUUCUCACAUAGCCACCACCAGCUUCCUUAAAUGACUGUUGCCAGGUGUCACCCUAGCAGGACUGAGCCAUUAAUCAUGGCAAAUGAAGCCGCAGGAGACUUUGCAUCCUGUCGGGAGAUUUAAUAUCAUCCCAAGAGCUGGCAUCUGAGUGCAACGAACCAUACUGCACUGAGUGCUUUCC
rnacentral:lncRNA from 1 species